UCUGAAUCUUUCUGUCCUGCAGUGAAGAGAGAGGAGCUGUCCACCACCAUUGGCCCUUUGGUCCAUCAAGGUGUUGUGAAGUGGCUGAUCCAUGUUGUUUAGAAUAGACUCCACCUUCCUCAGUGUAGAUCUCUCCACCACAUCCUCCACUGAGUCCAGCUUGAGUCCAACCACAGAGCCAGCCUUUUUCACCAGUUUGUUAAGACGUCUUGCAUCUUUGUGUUUGAUGCUUCCUCCCCAGCAGACUGCAGCGUAGAACAGAACACUGUAGACACCACAGACUGAUAAAACAUCUGCAGCAUCUUACUACAGAUGUCUAUUGAUCAGAGUCUUCUCAGGCAAAAGAGGCGGCUCUGCCCCUUUCUGUAGAUGAAGUCUAUAUUCUUAGACCAGUCCAACUUAUUAUCCAGAUGUACACCUAGGUAUUUAUAUGAUGUCACCACUUCGAUGUCCACUCCACAGGUGUUCACUGGUUGAAGAGGGGGUUUGGAUCUGCGGAAAUCUAUGACCAUCUCCUUUGUCUUUGAGGUGUUGAGGAGGAGGCAGUGACUCCAGUCACUGAAGGCUCUUAUUAGAUCUCUGUAUUCAGCUUCUUGUCCAUUUCUGAUACAUGCCACAAUAGCGGUGUCAUCUGGGUAUUUCUGGAUGUGGCAGGACUCAGUGCUGUAUUUGAAGUCUGAUGUAUACAGUGUGAACAGGAAUGGAGCCAGCACUGUCCCUUGUGGAGCCCCUGUACUGCUCAUUAAUGUCCCAGAAACACAGUUCCCCAGCCUGACAAACUGUGGCCUUCAUGUCAGGUAAUCUGUGAUCCAGGAAACACAGGAAGGAUCCACUCCCAUCUCUGUGAGCUUG